GAGAGAGCGCUACGCAUGCGCCGGGCGGGCCGUUCGAAGGAGCGUCCGCACACAGGCAACCCCCGGGCUGGCAGCGACGCUGGAAUCACGCACCGCGAUCCAAAUUAGCACAAACCUGCCCACAGAAGGCGGCACAGGCACCGGCAGCCAUCCAGGGAAUGCUGGCUUGAAGAAGGAUGUCAAUAGUCACAGUCCAGCUUGGGCAGUGUGGGAACCAGAUUGGGCACGAGGUGUUUUGCUGCCUGUGCAGCGACAUCCGCGGCGCUCACGGGCUCUGCUCCAAGAAGGAAAACCAAUCCUACCAGGAUGCCUGCAAGGAGAGGUUUUUCUGGGAGGAGGAAUCUGGAGUGCCUGUGGCCCGGGCUGUGCUGGUUGACAUGGAGCCCAAAGUCAUCAGCCAAACCUUAUCCAUGGCUGCCAGGUCUGGCUGCUGGAAAUACAACCACCAGUCCCACUUCUGCCAGAAGCAAGGCUCUGGGAACAACUGGGCCAACGGUUACUCUGUCCAUGGGCCCAGACACAAGGAAUCAAUCAUGGAUCUGGUGCAGAAAGAAGCAGAGAGAUGUGACAGACUGGGAGGAUUUUUCACCAUCAUGAGCAUGGCUGGGGGCACAGGGUCAGGCCUGGGAGCAUUUGUGACCCAGUGCUUGAGAGAUGCUUUUCCAACCUCAUUUAUCCUAAACCACGUUAUCUGGCCCUAUGGCACUGGUGAGGUCAUUGUUCAAAACUACAACUCUGUUUUGACUCUGUCACAUCUGUACCGGUCCUCAGAUGCCCUCCUGGUCCACGAGAACGAUGUCAUCCACAGGAUCUGUGCCCAGCUGAUGAACAUCAAACAGAUCUCCUUCAGGGAUGUGAACCAAGUCAUUGCACAUCAGCUGGGCAGCGUUUUCCAGCCCGCUCACCCAGCAGAGGGGGGCUCAAACUACAGCAGGAACCCACUGGGAGAUUUGAUGGAGACACUGGUCCCACAUCCCGAGUUCAAGAUGUUGGGUCUCCGGAACAUUCCUCAGAUUCCUGAGAACUCCCUCCCCUACAGCACCUUCAGCUGGCCUGGGCUCAUCAAACAUCUGAGGCAGAUGCUCAUUGCUAAUGCCCAGAUGGAGGAAGGUAUUGACUGGCAAGUCCGACCACCUCCUCCAGGCUCCUCCAGCCAUUCCACAAAGAAGCCACUGCACUUCAACACUUCCAUUGCCAACCUGGUUAUCCUGAGAGGAAAAGAUGUACACAGCGUGGACUUGGGAAGUUUCCAAGAUCCCUCCCUGUACACAUCAUGGCUAAAGCCUCAGGAUGCUUUUAAUGCCUGGAGAACACCAAGAGCAUUUAACAAGUAUGAAAAGUCUGCCUCUCUGGUCAGCAACAGCCAGUUCCUGCUGAAACCUCUCGACAGCCUUGUGGGAAAAGCUUGGAAUAUGUUUGCUUCCAAAGCUUAUAUUCACCAAUACACCAAAUUUGGAAUUGAAGAGGAAGAUUUCCUGGACAGCUUCACAACCCUGGAACAAGUUAUCUCCAGUUACACCACCCUUUGAUUUUAUUUCUUUUAAAUGAUCAGAAAUAGAGCUUUUCCUGAAAGAACCCAGCACUGGAAAACCUCCCAUCAACUUCCUGAAGUAUGGAAAUGUCUGGGCUGGAGCUGGUUUUCAGUCUUGAAAGCAGUUUGUGUGUGUGUGUUAGAACAGCAAGAACUGACUCUGAGCUGAAUAUAUUCAUAUGGACAGAAGAAGCUGGAGGAAAGGCUGCACAAGUUGAGACAAACAGCACAGGCACUGCAAGGAACAAAGGGUGAGGAAAGGAGACCAUGGUGAGCUGCUCCCUCCUGCAGAAGGCCCAGGAUGUUCAGCCACACAGACAAUCCCUGUCCCUGGUGUUCCCAACAGAUCCCAGGCUGAGCAGGAAUGGGGAACUGCACGUCUGGAACAAGGGCCAAGUGCCAGCAAUGCUUCCUCCUGUCCCACAGAACAGGAUGUGCAGAGGGUCAGAGUGGCAGGAAGUGAAUAGCUGGUAUCAAAGAGUCAUAAUUUACACUUGUAUUAGAAGGUGGAGCAGUACUUUUCUAUUUUAUUGAUAAAAUUAAUCCUGGGGGUAGCCAGAGCUUGGAAGAGGGCCUUUAUUUGAUUAGCAAUUAAAGUUAAUGAGGUGGAUCAAAGGUCAGCACAAGCCAGUGGCUCAGUGACAGGAACAACAGAAUCAGUGGCCUUGACCUUGCUGGUUUUAGGCAAAGUCCCCACAGGAUGUCCAUAAACCUGGAACAAUGCACCAAACCUCACUAUUGUUGUGGGAGGGACAGGUGCAGCUCACUUGGAAGUUGGUUCAAGGACUCCAACUACAGAAAAAAAAAAAAAAACAACCCCAAAAAAACCCAAACAAAUCAAACCCACCAAAAAAAUUCCAACCCAGAAACAAAAAACCUUCAAUAACCUAAAAUACUUUAAACACAAUAAGUGGCAAGUGACAGUAGUUAAUGUAUUUAUAGAUACAAUUUGUUUGGAUAUAAGCAGAUAUUGGUGCUUUUAAGGUCAGACUCACUAUCAGUACAGGAAGGAUAGAACUGGGGAUAAAUAUAUAAGGGGAAAAAAAAAAUCUAUGGUUCCCACACCAACCAGGAAUUUAUCAACAUGAAAGCAGGAAGUUAUAUUCAAAUUACCAGCUGAUACACUACUGGGGAAAAUUAAGGUACAAAAGGAUGAACUAUUCACUUCCUUCUGCAUUUGCUAAGAAAUUUAGUCUGGAUAAAUAUUAUGAAGUGAGAGACUAAACAUCCAAAAAGAAACACUCUCAGCUGAAGAAAUGUGAGUUUUGCCGGACACCACUUUAAAACCUGCACAGGAGUCAUCAGGGAAGUGAUUCAUGGAUCCGAUUUAGCACAAAAAAAGCUUCCAAAAGGAACUGAGCUGCUG